rnacentral:lncRNA from 1 species
CAGGUGUUAUUAUAUUUUUAUUAAUGUUGUCUACUUUUUCAAUAUCAUCUUUUUUUUAACAGCAAUAUCCACAAAAAUAUGAACAGUAAAGUCUUAACAGUAAAGUAUUUAACUGUAAAAUAUGAACAGUAAAGUCUUAACAGUAAAGUAUUUAACUGUAAAAUAUGAACAGUAAAGUCUUAACAGUAAAGUAUUUAACUGUAAAAUAUGAACAAGUGUGCAAGAAAACAUGAGUUAUGGCACAUCAGAGCGACCAGAUACAAAAAAAUAGAUAUUAUAUUUCCUUCAUAAUCUAUAACUGAUCAUUCACAAUUAAUCAAGGCAAAAAGAUACGGUAGUGCUUUACGUCACAGUCCUGUCCCAGCUGGAAUUAACACAUUGUGGUAACAAUGGGGACUUUCAACCUGGUACCAAAUAGUCCUCGCUUGCAAUGAAACAAAUGUUUUUACCGUGUUAUUUCUAAGCAAAUACCAAGUUAAAGGGGACCGCAAAACAAAGCGUUACCAGAGAUACAUACUGUAUAUGCAUACACAGGAGAUAAAAAAACACAAUGAUGAGUCCAGGUAAAACUGACCCGAGGUCAGUGUCUAGGGACAGAAAUUCGUUUUAGGGUUCUAGCGUUCUGCACUGGGUAAGAUCUAGGAUCAGAUUCCAUUCCCCAAAUCCUGACCUAAUCUUUAGGGGGAGAACACUUUAAACUGACCUAGAUCAGCUAUAGUGAAUGAUGUGGGAAUGGGAGCACCACAAGACUUCCAUUGUGGAGCUUUGUGUCUUCUUUUAAGACUGUUCACUCAAAUACUCUCAACUAUUCUCAAGUCUAGGGCUAGAAUGUUGUUCCUGACCAAUGUGACCUGACCAGGUAAAACUCCUGGUCCUAACCAGCAUACAACACAAUACACCACAACAAGGCAAACCAUCAAUCAACCAAUCAAUCAAACAACCAAUCAAUCAAACAACCAAUCAAUCAAUCAAUCAAUCAAUCAAACAACCAAUCAAUCAAUCAACCAAUCAAUCAAACAACCAAUCAAUCAAACAACCAAUCAAUCAAUCAACCAAUCAAUCAAACAACCAAUCAAUCAAUCAACCAAUCACUCAAUCAACCAAUCAAUCAAACAACCAAUCAAUCAAACAACCAAUCAAUCAAACAACCAAUCAAUCAAAAUAACCGUCCGUGGAAUGAAUGAAUUAAGAAAUAACAAUAUUCUCCCUCAGAUAAUCACUUUUAAAAGACAUUAGGAAACUGUCUGUCUGUCUGUCUGUCUGUCUGUCUGUCUGUCUGUCUGUCUGUCUGUCUGUCUGUCUGUCUCUCUCUCUGUAUGUCUCUCUCUCUCUCUCUGUGUGUGAGAGAGAGAGACAGUGUUUUAAUGGUUCAAGUUUGUUUCUCACAGUGCUUAGCCUGUGUAUAAGAAGCUAUGCUAUGAGUACGGCCACUUCACUGCUUUGUAGAUGUGGUUGGCUCCCCAUUUAGUCACUAGGGGAUUGUGUGUGUGUGUGUGUGUGUGUGUGUGUGUGUGUGUGUGUGUGUGUGUGUAUCAGAGUCUGCUCCAAGGGCCAGACAGGUGUGUGUUGGGUUGGUAGACAGGUGUACCAGGUGGGACAGGUGUGUGUUGGGUUGGUAGACAGGUGUACCAGGUGGGACAGGUGUGUGUUGGGUUGGUAGACAGGUGUACCAGGUGGGACAGGUGUGUGUUGGGUUGGUAGACAGGUGUACCAGGUGGGACAGGUGUGUGUGCAGGGGAUGGGCUGACCAGGUGAGUUGGGUCAUUCAGCUGGACAGAAGUGGUUGUGACCUCAGGUCAGAUGGUCAGCUGUAAACCUUCACCUCCUGCAGAGAAGAAGUUUCACAUUUUUAAUAUCACAUGCGCAAGUACAGUGAAAUACCUUUCUUGCAGACUCAAAACCCAACAAUGCAAUAAUC